rnacentral:miRNA from 1 species
UUUUGUUCGUUCGGCUCGCGUGAG